rnacentral:rRNA from 1 species
CCCUUAGAUGUCCUGGGCCGCACGCGCGCUACACUGACAUGUUCAACAAGUUUCUCCUAGUUCGACAGGACUGGGAAAUCUUUGAACGCAUGUCGUGAUAGGGAUAGAUCAUUGCAAUUAUUGAUCUUGAACGAGGAAUUCCUAGUAAACGCGAGUCAUCAGCUCGCAUUGAUUACGUCUCUGCCCUUUGUACACACCGCCCGUCGCACCUACCGAUUGAAUGUUUCGGUGAAGAUUCCGGAUAGGACUGAUUUGAUUUAUUUCAUUUCUGACCUAAAAGCUAUCUAAACCUCAACAUUUAGAGGAAGGUGAAGUCGUAACA